rnacentral:rRNA from 1 species
GAUAAACGCUGGCGGCGUGCUUAACACAUGCAAGUCGAACGGUGAAGGCGGAGCUUGCUCUGCUGGAUCAGUGGCGAACGGGUGAGUAACACGUGAGCAAUCUGCCCCUGACUCUGGGAUAAGCGCUGGAAACGGCGUCUAAUACUGGAUACGAGCUGCGAAGGCAUCUUCAGCAGCUGGAAAGAAUUUCGGUCAGGGAUGAGCUCGCGGCCUAUCAGCUUGUUGGUGAGGUAAUGGCUUACCAAGGCGUCGACGGGUAGCCGGCCUGAGAGGGUGACCGGCCACACUGGGACUGAGACACGGCCCAGACUCCUACGGGAGGCAGCAGUGGGGAAUAUUGCACAAUGGGCGAAAGCCUGAUGCAGCAACGCCGCGUGAGGGACGACGGCCUUCGGGUUGUAAACCUCUUUUAGCAGGGAAGAAGCGAAAGUGACGGUACCUGCAGAAAAAGCGCCGGCUAACUACGUG